AUACGUAGGGUGCGAGCGUUGUCCGGAAUUACUGGGCGUAAAGAGCUCGCAGGUGGUUUGUCGCGUCGUCUGUGAAAUUCCGGGGCUUAACUCCGGGCGUGCAGGCGAUACGGGCAUAACUUGAGUACUGUAGGGGAGACUGGAAUUCCUGGUGUAGCGGUGAAAUGCGCAGAUAUCAGGAGGAACACCGGUGGCGAAGGCGGGUCUCUGGGCAGUAACUGACGCUGAGGAGCGAAAGCAUGGGUAGCGAACAGGAUUAGAUACCCUGGUAGUCCAUGCCGUAACCGGUGGGCGCUAGGUGUAGGGGUCUUCCACGACUUCUGUGCCGUAGCUAACGCAUUAAGCGCCCCGCCUGGGGAGUACGGCCGCAAGGCUAAAACUCAAAGGAAUUGACGGGG
rnacentral:rRNA from 1 species